AGCCUGAACGCUGGCGGCGUGGCUAAGACAUGCAAGUCGCACGGUGUAGCAAUACACAGUGGCGAACGGGUGAGUAAAGAAUCGCUAACGUACCCCGGACUCUGGGAUAGCUAUCCGAAAGGGUAGGUAAUACCAGAUGACAUAACUUCUCCGCAUGGGGGAGUUCUCAAAGGUCCGCCGGUCUGGGAGCGGGCGAUUUCGUAUCAGCUAGUUGGUGAGGUAACGGCUCACCAAGGCGACGACGCGUAGCCGGACUGAGAGGUUGGCCGGCCACAUUGGGACUGAGACACUGCCCAGACUCCUACGGGGGGCUGCAGUAACGAAUCUUCCGCAAUGCACGAAAGUGUGACGGAGCGACGCCGCGUGUGGGAUGAAGUUCUUCGGAAUGUAAACCACUGUCAGGGGUUAGAAAGUUCUGAUCAACCCCAGAGGAAGGCACGGCUAACUCUGCGCCAGCAGCCGC
rnacentral:rRNA from 1 species